AGCCUAUGAAUCGAUUUGUGGUGUAAGAACAUGGACAAAGUGUUUGGGGAGUGCCCAUACAAUGAUUUUGAUCCUUGCCCACUGCUCCAUUUCUUCACCAACACGGCAUCUAAGAACCAUACUACCAGCAGAUCAUGCUCUCCCUGAGCAACAGCAGCACCCCCUCCAUCCCCUCUCCAGCCAACUUCCUGGGUCUAUGCAAGGGACCACCUGACUUCAGAAAAGGAUUCAGGCCUUGGUGCUAUGCUGAAGAUUACAUGUGGCCUUCUGUGACACGUGGAAAGAAAUUGGGGACCUUCUGUUUCCCAUCUAGUCUUCAGAUUCUGAAGCAAACAGAAUGUUAUCUGACUGACACAAAGCAGAGCUACGUUUUGACAGAAGUCACCUGCAUCUUGUUAAUAUAUUCAUGUACACACGUUCAGGCCAGUUCUGUCUCAAAUGAAUUAAAUUCCUGGAGUCCCACUGAUGACAUGAAGAAGGAAAAUGACCUGAAAUCACAUGUUGAACAGUUCCAAAUAGAGAAAACUGGAUGUAUCCAUCUGGGAGAAAGGAGAGCAAAACAAAGUCUGUUGGUAGAAGUCUCAAAUAUUAUGGUGUGUUAAUGAUCAUAAAAGCAUGU